GGGAGGCUCCGCUGGGCAAGUUGCGGUGGACGCUGCCUGGCUGGGCGCACGGGCAGGCCCUCUAGCUCUGCUCGCCCCCUGCCGGCUGCUCGCCUCCUCGCGAGGUGGAGGGACCGCGGCCAUGACUCCCUGGCCCCCUACGCCCCUGCUGUGGCGCCUUCAUGCCGGUCGACUACCGAGAAAAGGGGCUUCAGUUGUAGGAACGCACCUGCUGCCACCCUGGGGCCUAUAGGGGACUGUAGAGAAAAACCUGCCAUCCCAACCCUUUCAUGACCCCUCUUCCACGCCUUCGGGGCGGGAGGUGGGGCCAGGGGCGAUGGUGAAGUUCAGGGUCAGCCGAUGCGGCUGGUGGAGUCCCCAGGCUCGCGCGCUGGUGGUAGUUGAGCAAUCUGCGCAGCGCCUGCCAAACCCUGUCUUGGCUCCCAGCCUCGCGCGGCCCUGCAAAUACCUGCUCCCGCGGCGCCGGGAGUCUGUAACCCUCGGCCCUUUUCUGACCGCCCCCAGCUUCAGCUGAACGCACUCUUGUUUUCCAACGCUCGGCUGCGCAGUGGCAUCACCCGGAAGCUGUUAAAAAAUAACUACUGCUGAUCGUGGGUUUUAUUUUGCUAUGCAGGAUGUUAUUGGGACAAGUGACGAAAUCUCAAUAAGGUGAUUCCAGUGUGCAGCCAAAAUAGAGGAACACUGCGCCAAAUCUGCCAGUGGAAGGAGCCUGUGAGGGAGUAGGGAGCAGACAAGAGGGAGGCCCCGAGAGACAGCGCACUAGAAACGUGUGGUUUUAUCUCAUGCACGACUUCCAUGGCCAACAUUUACUCCACUGAGAGCUUCUAACUCCACUCCGCCCUCGUGGGUGGAGCAGCGUUGCACCCAGGCUGGCUCACCUUAUGGUCCCAGCAUGGCCACAGAAGCUCUAGGACUCAAACCCGACUCAGCAAGGUGAAGAGGAAGAGGGAAUGUCUCUUCACUGCUUACUUAGGAGCAGUAAACAGUUCUCAAAAUCCACCCUGCAGGGUGACCCUCACAUCACAGUGGCUCCAGCUGUGUCACAUUUCCCAUUUCUAAUCCAAACACUGGCGAAGGGGUUACCCUGUUUGGUGUUGGUUACUCAGGAUCCUCCUCUUGGAGCUGGAAAUAAGGCAUUUGUCAAGAUCCUGGGGACGUGUCACAGUGCUAAGAUGCUGGGAGAGAGACCCACCUGGUCUUCAGUCGUCCAUCCACACUUGUGGCUGCUGACAAACUGCCGUUUCUAUUUGUGUUUCCCCUUCAGCCGCAUGGAUUCCUCUCUCGCCUUAGAGCACAGAAUCUGGAAGAAUCUAUACAGAUAGCUACUCUUCUACUUCCAGAGGCAGCUACAUAAUUUGCAGGAAAAAAAUGUCCAUUAAAGGUCCUAAAUAUAAAGCUUUUUCCUUUUUUUCUGCUCUCUCAACUUGCCAUAGUGUAUUUUAUUUGCCACUUAAUACUAAUCUAAAUAAAGAAAAAUUAAAAUAUUAAAUAAUUA
rnacentral:lncRNA from 1 species